rnacentral:rRNA from 1 species
AGAGUUUGAUCCUGGCUCAGAAUGAACGUUGGCGGCGUGGAUUAGGCAUGCGAGUCGUACGAGAACCCGCAAGGGGGAAAGUGGCGAACGGGGUAGUAAUGCGUAGGUGACGUGCCCUGGGGUCGGGGAUAGCUUAGGGAAACUUAAGGUAAUACCCGAUAAUCCCGGUAGGUUUGAAGACCAUCCGGGCAAAGGUGUGAUUCCACCUCAGGAGCGGCUUGCGUGGUAUUAGCUAGUUGGUGAGGUAACGGCUCACCAAGGCUACGAUGCCUAGGGGAUGUUAGCGCAUGAUCCCCACCACUGGGACUGAGAUACUGCCCAGACACCUACGGGUGGCUGCAGUCGAGAAUCUUCGGCAAUGGGGGAAACCCUGACCGAGCGACGCCGCGUGUGGGAUGAAGGCCCUUGGGUUGUAAACCACUGUCAGAGGGGAUGAAGUGCCAGAGAGCUAUCUCUCUGGUUUGACAUAGCCUCAGAGGAAGCACGGGCUAAGUUCGUGCCAGCAGCCGCGGUAAGACGAACUGUGCAAACGUUAUUCGGAAUCACUGGGCUUGAAGAGUGCGUAGGCGGUUUCGUAAGUAGGGUGUGAAAGCCCCCGGCUUAACCGGGGAAUUGCGUCCUAAACUGCGAGGCUGGAGUGAGGUAGGGGUGUGUGGAACUUCCAGUGGAGCGGUGAAAUGUGUUGAUAUUGGAAGGAACGCCGGUGGCGAAAGCGACACACUGGACCUUGUCUGACGCUGAGGCACGAAAGCCAGGGGAGCAAACGGGAUUAGAUACCCCAGUAGUCC